GCCAACGACCAUAUUAUGUUUAAUACGCCAGUUCUCGUUCGAUCACUGAAGUUAAGCAACGUCGGACGUAGUUAGUACUUGGAUAGGGGUGACCACUUGAGAACACUACGUGCUGUUGACU